GUCGGGAAUAAUGGACAAUGGGGGCAACCCUGAUCCUGCAAUGCCGCGUGUGUGAAGAAGGCCUUAGGGUUGUAAAGCACUUUCAGUGGGGAAGAAAUGCCCAAGGCUAAUACCCUUGGGAGUUGACGUUACCCACAGAAGAAGCACUGGCUAACUCUGUGCCAGCAGCCGCGGUAAUACAGAGAGUGCAAGCGUUAAUCAGAAUUACUGGGCGUAAAGCGCGCGUAGGUGGAUACUUUAGUCGGAUGUGAAAGCCCUGGGCUUAACCUGGGAACUGCACUCGAUACUGGGUAUCUAGAGUAUGGUAGAGGGUAGUGGAAUUUCCGGUGUAGCGGUGAAAUGCGUAGAUAUCGGAAAGAACACCAGUGGCGAAGGCGGCUACCUGGACCAAUACUGACACUGAGGUGCGAAAGCGUGGGGAGCAAACAGG
rnacentral:rRNA from 1 species